rnacentral:rRNA from 1 species
GUGCCAGCAGCCGCGGUAAUACCGGUGGCUCGAGUGGUGGCCGCUAUUAUUGGGUCUAAAGGGUCCGUAGCCGGCCUGAUAAGUUACCUGGGAAAUCCGGUGGCCUAACCAUCGGGCGGCCAGGUAAUACUAUCAGGCUCGGGACUAGGAGAGACCAGAGGUACUCAUGAGGUAGGAGUGAAAUCCUGUAAUCUUAUGAGGACCACCAGUGGUGAAGACGUCUGGUUAGAAUAGGUCCGACGGUGAGGGACGAAGGCUGGGGGCGCAAACCGGAUUAGAUACCCGGGUAGUCCCAGCAGUAAACGAUGCCAGCUAUGUGUUGCUGGAACCAUGGGUUCCAGCAGUGCCGAAGGGAAGCCGUGAAGCUGGCCACCUGGGAAGUACGGUCGCAAGGCUGAAACUUAAAGGAAUUGGCGGGGGAGUACCACAACCGGUGGAGCCUGCGGUUUAAUUGGAUACAACGCCGGGAAUCUUACCGGAGGGGACAGCAGUAUGAAGGCCAGGCUAAAGACCUUGCCAGAUCAGCUGAGAGGAGGUGCAUGGCCGUCGCCAGUUCGUACCGUGAGGCAUCCUGUUUAGUCAGGCAACGAUCGAGACCCGGAGUCUUAUUUG